rnacentral:rRNA from 1 species
AGCGAACGCUGGCGGCAGGCCUAACACAUGCAAGUCGAACGAACUCUUCGGAGUUAGUGGCGGACGGGUGAGUAACACGUGGGACCGUGCCUUUUGGUUCGGAAUAACUCAGGGAAACUUGUGCUAAUACCGAAUGUGCCCUUCGGGGGAAAGAUUUAUCGCCAUUAGAGCGGCCCGCGUCUGAUUAGCUAGUUGGUGAGGUAACGGCUCACCAAGGCGACGAUCAGUAGCUGGUCUGAGAGGAUGACCAGCCACACUGGGACUGAGACACGGCCCAGACUCCUACGGGAGGCAGCAGUGGGGAAUCUUGCGCAAUGGGCGAAAGCCUGACGCAGCCAUGCCGCGUGAAUGAUGAAGGUCUUAGGAUUGUAAAAUUCUUUCACCGGGGACGAUAAUGACGGUACCCGGAGAAGAAGCCCCGGCUAACUUCGUG